AUCACAAUCACCCAGAGGGUGUCAAGCGCAGGUUUGUCAAAUGCUGACAGUGUCAUUCUGGGUGCGCCUGGGAUUUUCUAUUUUGAACUGAGCCUUGCUGAUGCUGGUGGUGUCCAGGCCCACUCUCUGACAGCCACAGCCCUAGGACAAGGACUCUGCUCCCCAGAGCUUCCACGAGAAGACCAGUGUGAAAGUACAAACAGGAUCCCGGGCUAAAUUUGAGUUUCAGCCCCCCAGGCCCAGCUGUGAUGCAAUCUCUCCAGCACCCUGCUCAGACCUCGCCUCCCAGCUGUCCCAGUGCUGCUUAGAAAAAGCAUCUCCAUUCUCAGAGGUACCCCAGAACUUCACCUGGAUUCUAAGGACUCCCUCCAGACCUGACCGGCACAGCAGCUCGUAACCUGUCACAUCCUCCAAACACACUCGGAGGCUAGGGUUUAUGCUCCGUGCCUGGCCCGUGCACAUCCAGCAGACACCUCCCAGAAGCUGGUGAAAGCUGCAGGAUGGGUUGACCAGACAGAUUCGAACCCAGACCUCAACCAGAUCCCCAAGAAGUUGGAGUGCACAGCCAGGUUCCUCUUAUUUUCCUACAUCUGUGUCUACAUAUGGUACCAGACUAGUUGCUCCCUCUGAAAUAGAACAUAUCUCAAAAAACAACUCAGAAUCAAGGACUCUGGCCUCCCCUGCCAGCUCAACAGUGAACCCUAGAAUCCUCUGGACCUCAGUCCCGGGCCAGGUACCUCUUCUGGGCCAUUCAUCUGUCAUUGCUACCAAAGCCAAGGUCCACUUCACAAAAGGCCUUACCUGGAGUAGGACAUUCCUGACCCCUUGAUCCAGUUGCCUCGGGGAGAGCAGACAAUUUGGGGGCUGCAGAAGAUACCACCGAGGGAUGGAAAAUGCACCACCAGGAGCCAGGAAGUCCCAAGGAGACAAG